ACAACUUCUUUAUCCCCCAAUAAUUCAAACAAGUAUCUAAACACCUCCCAAUGUCAUCCUUCUUGUGACUUGUGAUCUUAACGAAAUUUAUGAUCCUUUUAUGCAAGUUUUAUUCAUGAUCCAUUAGAUGGUGGUGACUACCAUGUAGUUGAUGUUUUGGAUAGAGGUCCAAGUAUCCGUUGUGAUACUUAUUCUUUGAUCACCUAUCACACUCAUAAUCUUAGUAUUCUCAACUAAUGACAAAUCUCACACUCCCUUAGCAACCUUCUUCCUAUUAGGGAUCAUGAAUCUAAGUUGAAGAUCAUGGAAAAAAUCCCUAAACCCCCGACCCCUCCACCGCCCUAAAAGGGAACUCAUCCUUGAUGAUGUACUUCAC
rnacentral:lncRNA from 1 species